CUGAUUGAUGGUGCUUGCACCUGAUUGACGAUGGAUCACCAGUGAGUGGCGGACGGGUGAGUAACACGUAGGUAACCUGCCCCGGAGCGGGGGAUAACAUUUGGAAACAGAUGCUAAUACCGCAUAACAACAAAAGCCACAUGGCUUUUGUUUGAAAGAUGGCUUUGGCUAUCACUCUGGGAUGGACCUGCGGUGCAUUAGCUAGUUGGUAAGGUAACGGCUUACCAAGGCGAUGAUGCAUAGCCGAGUUGAGAGACUGAUCGGCCACAAUGGAACUGAGACACGGUCCAUACUCCUACGGGAGGCAGCAGUAGGGAAUCUUCCACAAUGGGCGCAAGCCUGAUGGAGCAACACCGCGUGAGUGAAGAAGGGUUUCGGCUCGUAAAGCUCUGUUGUUGGAGAAGAACGUGCGUGAGAGUAACUGUUCACGCAGUGACGGUAUCCAACCAGAAAGUCACGGCUAACUACGUGCCAGCAGCCGCGGUAAUACGUAGGUGGCAAGCGUUAUCCGGAUUUAUUGGGCGUAAAGCGAGCGCAGGCGGUUGCUUAGGUCUGAUGUGAAAGCCUUCGGCUUAACCGAAGAAGUGCAUCGGAAACCGGGCAACUUGAGUGCAGAAGAGGACAGUGGAACUCCAUGUGUAGCGGUGGAAUGCGUAGAUAUAUGGAAGAACACCAGUGGCGAAGGCGGCUGUCUGGUCUGCAACUGACGCUGAGGCUCGAAAGCAUGGGUAGCGAACAGGAUUAGAUACCCUGGUAGUCCAUGCCGUAAACGAUGAGUGCUAGGUGUUGGAGGGUUUCCGCCCUUCAGUGCCGGAGCUAACGCAUUAAGCACUCCGCCUGGGGAGUACGACCGCAAGGUUGAAACUCAAAGGAAUUGACGGGGGCCCGCACAAGCGGUGGAGCAUGUGGUUUAAUUCGAAGCUACGCGAAGAACCUUACCAGGUCUUGACAUCUUGCGCUAACCUUAGAGAUAAGGCGUUCCCUUCGGGGACGCAAUGACAGGUGGUGCAUGGUCGUCGUCAGCUCGUGUCGUGAGAUGUUGGGUUAAGUCCCGCAACGAGCGCAACCCUUGUUACUAGUUGCCAGCAUUAAGUUGGGCACUCUAGUGAGACUGCCGGUGACAAACCGGAGGAAGGUGGGGACGACGUCAGAUCAUCAUGCCCCUUAUGACCUGGGCUACACACGUGCUACAAUGGACGGUACAACGAGUCGCAAGCUCGCGAGAGUAAGCUAAUCUCUUAAAGCCGUUCUCAGUUCGGACUGUAGGCUGCAACUCGCCUACACGAAGUCGGAAUCGCUAGUAAUCGCGGAUCAGCAUGCCGCGGUGAAUACGUUCCCGGGCCUUGUACACACCGCCCGUCACACCAUGGGAGUUUGUAACGCCCAAAGUCGGUGG
rnacentral:rRNA from 1 species